GCUUGUCUCAAAGAUUAAGCCAUGCAUGUCUAAGUAUAAACUAUUUUAUACUGUGAAACUGCGAAUGGCUCAUUAAAUCAGUUAUCAAAUACGUGAUGGUCGCCUACUACAUGGAUAACCGUAGUAAUUCUAGAGCUAAUACAUGCACAAAGGCCCACUCACGUGGGUUGUGAUUAUUAGAUUCAAACCGGCCUCGUUCUGGUGAUUCAUAAUAAUUGGUCGAACCGCAUGCCCUUGUGGUGGCGGUGAUUCAUCCUUAUUUCUGCCCUAUCAAUUUGAUGGUAGGAUAGAGGCCUACCAUGGUGGUAACGGGUGACGGAGAAUUAGGGUUCGAUUCCGGAGAGGGAGCCUGAGAAACGGCUACCACAUCCAAGGAAGGCAGCAGG
rnacentral:rRNA from 1 species